GGAAACAUGGCGGAACAGUGGUUGUAGUACACGGACCAUAAAAAGGGACGGACAACGACGGAAAAAUUAGAAGCGGCAAAGCAGAAAAAAAACACAAAAAAAAAAACGGGAGUUUGGUGUCACCUUUGAAGAUUGAUUUGCUCUUGUGAUACAUCUACAAACAAGCAGAGAGACAGUCGGUUUUUACCUGCUUCUGCACCAUCUGUAAGAGCAGUGUCCUGACACUGAUGAAUACGUGGAGGAUAAACGAAGACAAAUACUUGGUCCUUUGAGUGAAAUCCAGUUGAUAAAAUAAUCUGUGUUGAAUCUGUGCCUUUUCAAGUGGAGAAACUGCACAAAGUAAAGGAGAACUUGACCAUCAUGCGGCGUUGGGCCCUGAGCUCAUCUGUAACUCGGAGGAUCUGGAGUGUGGCCAGAAAUGCAGCCUCCACUGCCAGCACAACGCUCGCCUUGACCUCAAUAUGCUAGCCGCAAGAAGAUAUCAGCGGGGCUUAGGGAAGCAAGUUGCAGCGAUAAUAGCGAGUCUUUAGAUGUCUCACCUGCAGGUGUGCUUCUGGCUAUUCAAUGAGGCUGUGCGCCUCAUUGAAUAGCCUCAUUGUGAUUCCCUCUGUUUUUUCUUUAUUGUUCUCCAUUUUUUCAUUCCAUGGCUUUACUGUUGUUUUCUUCAUUCCUUAUGUUUACCUCAAUUAUUUCUUCAAUUGGUAUCAUUGACUUUUUUUUAUGUUUCUUUUCCUCUUAGUCUUGAAUGAACAUAGUUCCCUGCUAAUAAAUUACCAGUGUGGAAGACUGAA